rnacentral:ncRNA from 2 species
UUGUUAUCACGAAAGCUGGAGGGAAUAGACCCUAUGAAAGCUUAGCAACCUCUCGCCCUUGCGGAAAGGUGCUACAUUCUAUUCCGAUACUAUCGGAAGCAGAUAACGU